rnacentral:lncRNA from 1 species
ACUUAUAGUUAUAGUCGACACAUAUUGGUACAAUUCGGAUUGGGUUGGCCUUUGGAUUUUAGUUGGGAUUCAGGAGGGCUCGGGCUCUUUUGUGCUUUACGACUUUACUGGAAAAGUCAUGUCUGAAACGAGCUACAAACCUGCUCAUCAAGGCCCACGAUGAGAUUUCGAUUUUGAGGGCUCUAUAGUGUUGGUUUGACUCCACUCAACAAAAAUUUUGUGUAUGAUUGUGAUCUGACGUAACACUACUUAUUUGACGUUGAUAAAUAAUUAACAAUAAUAAUUAAAAUGGUUGACAAUAUUAAUGGUGAAAUCUCGAUUGAACCAUUAAACUCUGAAAUUUUAUAAGCUUCAGUUGUUUCACUCUGCAUCCGAUUCCGGAAACUAUGAAAUAAAAACUAGCACCUGAAAUAAUGGUUGUAUCAAGCAAGCACAUAAAUCGAAGGACUCAAGUGUUCAGGAAUAUAAAACUGAAUUUUUAUUUGACGUCCUUGUAUUCGAACUAAACAACGCCAAAGAUUGAGUAAAUUACGUUAUUAUCCUUUCGUAAAAUCGAAAUAUAUGUAAGAAGUUGUGUAUAUCGACGAACUAAACACUCUCAAACACCCUCAAAUGAAGAUUCGAAAAAAAAGUCGAAAAUCUGUCGAGCCUCCAUUUAAGUACAAAAUUGAGAAAAAAUAAUUUUGGGCCAGCCGGCGAUUCCGGCCGAAGCAAGUACAAAGCAGGCCCAAAUUUUUAUUUUUUCUGAUUAUUAAGUUUAGACCGGAAAACCGGCCGGUUCGACCGAAAUUAUUCAGACAGUUGGACUCGAUUUUGUAACUACACUUUUUAUUUAAAAAAAAUGUACGAGUAGGAUUUGAACCAUGGUCUUUUAAGUAGGAAGGCUAAGUGAAUACCAUCUCUAUUAAUAUCACAAUUUGAUUAAAAUAUGCAUUUAAUUGAUAAUUAUAAACAUUAUGGCAGCUAAUUAACACUAAAAAGUAGCAUCUUAUCAUAAAUUAAGUAAAUUGCAUAUUAGAUCUCAAUUAUUUCAUCAAUAAAAACUUCAAAUUAUUUAUAUAAUUUGAAACUUCUUAAAAAAUGAUUCAAAAAUUAUAUUUUAUACAAUAUAGAUUAUGAUAUUGAACUCUCUAUACUACCUGGUUUAAGGUUAACAUUUUAGGGUUUAGGGUUUUAACAUUUUAGGGUGUUAGAGUUUAGGGUUUAGAAUUUUAGGGUUUUAAGGGUAGGGGGUUAAGGUUUAGGGUUUAGGAUUUUAGGCUCGGACCAGAGUUACCAUACACUUUCCCUUGAGGCCACUAUAUUUUACAAAACCAUAUUUCACAUUACUAGUACGCAACCACUCGUAGCAUAUGCACAUGAUGAGAGUAAGAGUCUCAAAUGAGUUUUGAAACACAAAACGAGAAUCAGGACACAAUCUUCGAUAUCUACCUGGCGUUGUCACCAUGAUGGUUGACCCCGGAGCUCGAUGAUACCAUUUUGCAGAUUUAUAGUGUGUGAACCAGUAAAGCCUACUGUCGCUCUGAAAUGGAAAGUUAGGGUCAGUGUUAAUCACUGCGUGAGGAUCUCUGUCCUGGUCACUCUAAGGUACAAAUAAUCGUAUAAAAGUAUAUAGCAUAUAACACAUAAGACUAAUUCUAUAAUCUAAUUCAUAUCCAUAUUUUAUUUGGGAUCCCGGCUCACAUAUGGGGAUGACCCGUGUAGAGUUAGUGGCACUAAAAUGGCCCACGUAGAGUUAAUGUGGCGCUUACCAAAGCCCACAGAAAUAGUUAGUUGUGGCGCUUACCAAGGCCCACCGCAUAACAAAAGUGCAAUAAGCACAAUUGACAACAUAUGGGCCCUAACUAAGUGAUCAAUCAAUUACAUAAAUUAUUCACUAAUUAGUAAUAGCUACUGUUUAGAUUAACACAUAUAUUAAGUUAGACAAAUCGGCACAAUAACAGAACAUGUAUCAUAUUAAGUCAUAAAUAGGGUAAAGAAGCCUAUAUAAUCUUAGGAUUAAACGGACAUUACCCUAUCAUGCAUAUAGCCUUUAAUAAUAAUAAAUUCAUAAUGGAAAAUCUAACCCGGUUGGAUACGCAGGAGACCCUCACCAAAAUAAUCCUCAACAACCCCGAUAUUAGCUUCCAAGUUGCGACCUUAAUUCCCACAGAACUAUGAAUGAGGGCCAACGUAUGAUAUUGUAAACUAGUUCUCGUAUGAAUUUUGUGUUUGCACUACUCUAGACUCA